rnacentral:rRNA from 1 species
AUUGAACGCUGGCGGCAUGCCUUACACAUGCAAGUCGAACGGUAACAGGUCUUCGGAUGCUGACGAGUGGCGAACGGGUGAGUAAUACAUCGGAACGUGCCCGAUCGUGGGGGAUAACGAAGCGAAAGCUUUGCUAAUACCGCAUAAGAUCUACGGAUGAAAGCAGGGGACCGCAAGGCCUUGCGCGAACGGAGCGGCCGAUGGCAGAUUAGGUAGUUGGUGGGAUAAAAGCUUACCAAGCCGACGAUCUGUAGCUGGUCUGGGAGGACGACCAGCCACACUGGGACUGAGACACGGCCCAGACUCCUACGGGAGGCAGAAGUGGGGAAUUUUGGACAAUGGGCGAAAGCCUGAUCCAGCCAUGCCGCGUGCAGGAUGAAGGCCUUCGGGUUGUAAACUGCUUUUGUACGGAACGAAAAGACUCUUUCUAAUAAAGAGGGUCCAUGACGGUACCGUAAGAAUAAGCACCGGCUAACUACGUGCCAGCAGCCGCCGUAAGAC